UUGUCUAGAUACACGGACAAUGGAAAAUUUCCCUAUUUUCCAGUUACAACUAGUUGAAUCCGAAAUUCUGAAUACGAGUAGGUAGGUAUAAGUGAUCAAAACAACAACAACUCCAAAAUUAAUUUAGGUAGAUAAUCAGAUUAUCGUAUUCCAUAAUAACGAUUUAAAAAUCCUAAUUAUCUUUCAGAAAACCUAUAUAAACUCUGUACGUAUAAAUUUGCGCCAAUUUCGCUUUGAAAGUCGUAAACUAUUUCCAUAUACAAUUGAAGCCGAGCAUUUUGAACUUCUCAAUUUACACCAGACAUCAUUAUGAAAUUUGUUAUUGUUGCAUUAUGUUUACUCGUAUUCAUAAGCUGUGCGACUGCUGCUGUGGGGGAAAAUAGUGCUAAAUUUCAAAGUCUUGGUUUCUCAAGUUUUCCCAAACUCAGCGCUGGAAAAGGAAAAGGCAAAGGACAAGGAUCUGGGAAUGGUCAAGGAGGUGGCAGUGGCUCUGGAUUCAAAAUACCUGGAGGAUUAUUUGGUUGAUUUUUAUUUGUCAUAGUACAUAAUUAUUAUGAUUGUGAUUUAUUUAGACCAAUUACCUACCUACCUACCUAUCCAAUUUUUCUCGUAUUUUGAAGAAUAAAGUAUUUUAGACGCCUGUAA